rnacentral:rRNA from 1 species
GAGGAAAAGGAAACCAACCGGGAUUGCCUCAGUAACGGCGAGUGAAGCGGCAAAAGCUCAAAUUUGAAAUCUGCGUAAGCCGAGUUGUAAUUUGAAGAUGGCUACUUUGGUAAUGGCUCUUGUCUAUGUUCCUUGGAACAGGACGUCACAGAGGGUGAGAAUCCCGUGCGAUGAGAUGUCCAUUACCGUGUAAAGUGCUUUCGAAGAGUCGAGUUGUUUGGGAAUGCAGCUCUAAGUGGGUGGUAAAUUCCAUCUAAAGCUAAAUAUUGGCGAGAGACCGAUAGCGAACAAGUACAGUGAUGGAAAGAUGAAAAGAACUUUGAAAAGAGAGUGAAAAAGUACGUGAAAUUGUUGAAAGGGAAGGGCUUGAGAUCAGACUUGGUAUUUUGUAUGGCUUGCUUUCGGGCGGGUCCUCUGCAGUUUACUGGGCCAGCAUCGGUUUGGGUGGCAGGAUAAUAGCAUAGGAAUGUGGCUCUACUUCGGUGGAGUGUUAUAGCCUUUGUUGAUACUGCCUGCCUAGACCGAGGA